rnacentral:rRNA from 1 species
CUACGGGCGGCUGCAGUUACGAAACCUUCACAAUGCGCGAAAGCGUGAUGAGGGAACUCCAAGUGAUCUUGCUUUACAAGAUCUUUUUCCAAGUCUAAAUCGCUUGGAGAAUAAGGACUGGGUAAGACCCGUGCCAGCCGCCGCGGUAAUACGGGCAGUCCAAGUGGUACCCGUGGAUAUUGGGCUUAAAGCGUCCGUAGCUGGUCCUGUAAGUCCUUAGUGAAAGUUCAUGGCCUAACCAUGAGAAGUGCUAGGGAUACUGUAGGACUUGGAGACGGGAGAGGUGAGAGGUAUUCCUGGAGUAGCGGUUAAAUGCAGUGAUCCCAGGAGGACCACCGGUAGCGAAGGCGUCUCACUAGAACGUGCUCGACAGUGAGGGACGAAAGCCAGGGGAGCAACUCGGAUUAGAUACCCCUGUAGUC